GUGAUCACCAACAUCAUCAACGGUGGGAUCGAGUGCGGGCACGGGCAGGACAGCCGUGUCGCUGAUCGGAUCGGGUUUUACAAGCGCUACUGCGACAUCCUUGGUGUUGGCUACGGCGACAACCUCGACUGCUACAACCAGAGACCUUUCGCUUAAUUAGUUAGCUAUGUCUAAUCUUGGCCCUGCGCAAUAUACAAUAAGAGCGCCAUCUCCUAUCUACAUGUUGUAAGAUGUAACUAUGGUUACCUUUUAUGCGGAACAUAACAAAGGCAUCUCGUAUGGAUGCUUUGGUAGUGAAUAUUACCAACAAUAUUGGCUCUUCGUUUCAUAUGAACAAUAUAUGCCUUUUAAAGAGUUCAGCAAUGACAAUAGAGAUACCUCUACGUAUAAGUAGGUAC
rnacentral:lncRNA from 1 species